rnacentral:lncRNA from 1 species
CAUAAGUUGUGGGCUUGGGUAAUCCAGUCACAUGUCAGUCCAAGUUUCUUUGGGACAAUGCAUCAAACAGCCUUCGGAACUCAUCCCUCUUGCUGGCUUUCCUCAAGGCAACGAGCAGCUCGUUGCAAGUGAGGACAUCGAGGUUGAUGGAGGCCUCAAGGUGCUUCCAGAACAUGGAGAUGGCGAGGCCGAGCUGAGACUUUAGGAGGAGGGAAGAGGCAGCCGCGAAGCCAGCGAGCUCCUUGACAUCGUCAAGGGCGGAGACGGCGGAAUCGAAUCGAUCGGAGUGGAAGAAGGCGUCUAGGAGAGAGCAGAAGACUGGGGGAUCAAA